rnacentral:rRNA from 1 species
AGUGAACGCUGGCGGUAGGCCUAACACAUGCAAGUCGAACGGCAGCACAGUAAGAGCUUGCCCUUACGGGUGGCGAGUGGCGGACGGGUGAGGAAUACAUCGGAAUCUACUUUUUCGUGGGGGAUAACGUAGGGAAACUUACGCUAAUACCGCAUACGACCUACGGGUGAAAGCAGGGGAUCUUCGGACCUUGCGCGAUUGAAUGAGCCGAUGUCGGAUUAGCUAGUUGGCGGGGUAAAGGCCCACCAAGGCGACGAUCCGUAGCUGAUCUGAGAGGAUGAUCAGCCACACUGGAACUGAGACACGGUCCAGACUCCUACGGGAGGCAGCAGUGGGGAAUAUUGGACAAUGGGCGCAAGCCUGAUCCAGCCAUACCGCGUGGGUGAAGAAGGCCUUCGGGUUGUAAAGCCCUUUUGUUGGGAAAGAAAAGCAGCAGGUUAAUACCCCGCUGUUCUGACGGUACCCAAAGAAUAAGCACCGGCUAACUUCGUG